GGUUACUAAGGACACCCUCAGAAACCAUGCAGUUGGGCCCUGAGGCCUUGGGACAAUUGGAUUGCCAAGGGGAUCAUUCAGCUGCCAGGUGGAAGAGGGAGCAGGAGCUCUAGAGGGGCCUCCCAGCCUGAGGUGUGGAGGGUGGCAGGGAGGGCUGCGAAUGUGACUGCCUGCCUGGGCAUCCGCCAGGGCAGGGCAAGCCACGAUGAAUACUGGAAGAGCAGGUGUGUCCGCCCUCUCACUUCUCUGACAUCUGGGCUCAGCUGCCCCCAGGUUCCUGUUUCAGACAGAGGGCGCCCAGGGCAGGGGGACGAGCGAUGACCCACAAGGUUUCAGUUCUGUCCCAAGGGCCCCCCCACCUCAGUUUGGCCUCUGCUCCUUAUGGGCUUGAUGACCCCCGGGCCCUGACUUUCAGCUUCCCUUUUGGUGACUGCGGUGGGGGAGACUGUCAGGCCGCAGCACGCCUGUCAGGAAAUCAUCACUCUGGUGAGCGACCGCCAGAAUCAAGGGCCAGGAGGCCUCUGCCCUCUGCAGAGCCAGGUAAAGAGCGGAGUCCGAAUGAGGAUGGAUGCAAAGUGUUACUCAGCUCUCAGCCCACUGAGGCAGUGAGUGCCCCUCUGGAGGGAAGGGACCAUGCCCUGGAAAGUUCUGGGCAUUCAUUAACCAGGAGCAGCCUCAGGGUCCUUUUACCAGGAGCCAUGGCCUACCUCCGGAGCCAACCACCAGUCAUCAGUCAGCAAGCAUUUAUUGAGAGCCUACUAUGCGCCAGGUACUCAUGCUAGGGCAUGAGUAAAAAGAAUGAAACACACCCUACAGACAAAGAGUUUACAUUCAGAUGGGGGAGACAACUCACACACACACUGAUAUCUUCAGCAAAGAUGUAAAGUGAAUAAUCU
rnacentral:lncRNA from 1 species